rnacentral:misc_RNA from 1 species
AAAGUGUGCUUGAGUUUGUUGUGCAUUCUGCUAUUUCCUUCUUGAUUGUUGAGUCUGAAGUAAAAUGGUGAAUUUUCGGGUUGAUUGUAGCUUGUUUUGACUAGCUCUUUCUCUAAAAAUGGUGAAAUAGAGUAGGUAUUUUGCAUUGCUCCACAACUUCACAUAAGUUCGUGCUUUAACAGUGGUUUAAUUCAAUUGUUGUGCUCAUUGAACUGUUUCAAAAUGAGUUACGGACGCCCACCGCCUCGUAUAGAAGGUAUGAUUUCACUGAAAGUUGACAAUCUAACAUACAGAACAACUCCUGAAGAUUUACGUCGGGUUUUUGAAAGAUGUGGAGAAGUUGGUGACAUUUAUAUCCCAAGAGAUAGAUUCUCCAGAGAGAGCAGAGGAUUCGCAUUUGUCAGGUUUUACGAUAAGCGUGACGCUGAGGAUGCAUUGGACGCUAUGCAUGGACGCCUUUUAGACGGACGUGAACUGCGUGUUCAGAUGGCUCGCUACGGCCGCCCAACGUCGCCUUACCGACGUAGUCGAAGAAGGAGACGCCGUUCCCGUUCCCGCUCCCGUUCGCGUUCCAGGUCGCGACGUCGCUCCUACUCGCGGUCACGCUCGCGCAGUCGUUCGCGGUCAGACAGCAAGAGUUCGCGCGGCGGUCGCUCGCGUUCACGCUCCAAGUCCAACGACAGAGGGCGCUCCAAGUCAAGGUCGCACUCUAAGUAGAGCAAUGCAGGAAGAAGUUCAGAUGAGCUGAGAAAUCCGAGAGAAGAAAAUAGCUGGAUUGAAAAUACAGUGCUGUCUUGCUGGCUACCAAGCCUAAGGCGUAUGCUGCUAUGCAGUGCUGAGUAUUGCUGUGCUGUGUUGGUGAGGGAGAGAGAGAGUUGGUGUGGGAGAAGGAGGGAGUGAUGGAGAAGGAGGAGGGGUUGGGAGAGAGAGAGAGAGAGAGGAGAUUGCUGAGAUGCUGAAGCGGUGCUGAUAGCUGAUUGCUGUGUCAGCUGAUAGCUGAUUGCUGUGCCAGCUGAUAGCUGAUUGCUGUGCCAGCUGAUAGCUGAUUGCUGUGUCAGCUGAUAGCUGAUUGCUGUGUCAGCUGAUAGCUGAAUCAGCUGAUUGCUGAUAGCAGAAGCCCAGUGGCCGAGCAGUAUUGCAGCAUCGCUAAGCAGAGCAAGGGGUUUGAAAUUUUUGAUAUUACUGGGUGUCCCUGAAGUUUUGGGGGAUUUUGAAUAAUAGAGAGCGUUCCUAAAGUUGUGGACCCUAUUUGAAAAUAACUGGGUGAUCCUAAAGUUUUGGGAUAUUUUUGAAAAACACAGGUGUUCCUCAAGUUGUGGCACAUGUAUGAAAAUAGCUGGGUGUCGUUAAAGUUUAGGGGCCUUUUUUAAAGAUAUAGUGUUCCCUAAAUUGUGGAACCGUAUGAACUGGGUGCCCAUAAAGUUUUGAGGCUUCUUUGAAAGAUAUACAGUGUUCCUAGAGCAUCUUCCCCAAAGUUUUGAGGUUUGUUUAAAAUAUGUGGAUAUCUCCAAAUUUCUAGGGCUUAUUUGAAAAAUAUAUGGUGCCCCUAAAGCUGUGGGGUAUUGUAUUUAUAGUGUUGGGGUUUAUUUUUUUAUUUAUUUAUAAUUUCUACAAAGUAGCACUGAUUGGGAGAGAAAAACUAAGGAUACUCCUUGUACUAUUUAAAAUAUGUUUGUUUAAAAUAUGUAGGAAUCCCCAAAUUUCUAGGUAUUAUUAGAAAAAUAUAUGGUGCCCCUAAGCUCUCGUUUCAGAAGAAAUAAGAAAUGUAGGUCGGUUUUUGUUAAUUUGAUAAGAUACGACAACCGAGAAAAAAUUUAAUUAAAUAAACGAAGACAUACCUUCAGGAAUUUUGUGAAGUAUUUCAAAGUUUGAAAGCUUGUAGCUCGGCUACAAUACAGUGUAGGUUAGCUACAAUACAGUGUAGGUUAGCUACAAUUCAGUGUAGCUUAGCUAUAAUACAGUGUAGCUUAGCUAUAAUACAGUGUAGCUUAGCUACAAUACAGUGUAGGUUAGCUACAAUUCAGUGUAGCUUAGCUAUAAUACAGUGUAGCUUAGCUACAAUACAGUGUAGCUUAGCUACAAUACAGUGUAGCUUAGCUACAAUUCAGUGUAGCUUAGCUAUAAUACAAUGUAGCUUAGCUAUAAUACAGUGUAGCUUAGCUACAAUACAGUGUAGCUUAGCUACAAUACAGUGUAGCUUAGCUACAAUACAGUGUUGUAGCUUAGCUACAAUACAGUGUUGUAGCUUAGCUACAAUACAGUGUAGUGUAGCUACAGUUGAGCGACUGUCGUUCUAGUCGUCGCUUAGGAACUCCACCUUAAGGGGGCCCCUUGGGGAUAAGACAAAUGCAAAUAAGAUAAGAUAAAUGCAAAUUUUAUCAUAAGACUAGCAAUGAUAAAAUUACUAGCAAAUUUACUUGGGAACUGUUAUGUACUAUGGUACACCUGGGAACGUGGGAAGUAGGCUACUGGAAUUUUGAAUUUAUUUGUUGAAACAUUGCAUAAAUUGCUUUAGUACUCUUCUGUUGUAAUACAAGCUGGAUAGAAUACACUCCAAUAAAGCGAAAGUUUGAAGAAUUGCCCAAUUUUGUAAAUGGAUACGGUAAGUAUGAUCGUUUUAUAACUUGUUAAUUUCAAUAAUUUUGUUGAAGUAGUUAUUUGAAUCUGAGGAUGCUAUAUGAAGUCCUUGAUUAAGGCUGUGCAAAGGCUGAAAAUAAACUUUGUAAUCGUGAUAUUUUUCAAAGUUUUUCGAUUUGUAUAUCAUUAAGCUAUCAAAAUGAAAAAGUUUUCACAGGAAAACAUUUUUUCCGAUCAUUACUUUUUGAGAUAUGAGCGCCUAAAGUUUAAAUUUUUGGGACAGAACAUUUCAAAUACGGUAAGAGAUGAAUGCAUGAGAUUUAGAGUAUAGAUUCUUCAUGGUAUUGUUAAUCUAGUAAAACAAA